UACGGGGGGAGCAAGCGUUGUUCGGAUUUACUGGGCGUAAAGGGCGCGUAGGCGGCGCAACAAGUCACUUGUGAAAUCUCCGGGCUUAACCCGGAGCGGCCAAGUGAUACUGUCGUGCUAGAGUGCGGAAGGGGGUACUGGAAUUCUCGGUGUAGCGGUGAAAUGCGUAGAUAUCGAGAGGAACACCUGCGGCGAAGGCGGGUAGCUGGGCCGACACUGACGCUGAGGCGCGAAAGCCAGGGGAGCGAACGGG
rnacentral:rRNA from 1 species